CACACAUCCCUUAUCCCCACCUCACAAGGCACAACUUCAGCAACUCACAUGGCAUAGUCCCGCUUUCUCUCCCUGCCACUGCUCCUCUUGUCCCGCCAUAGAGUCAUCUGCCGGCUCCUCUCCCAGCCUUGGUGUCAGCCAUCGCUUCCUCUCCCUGCCACUACGUAGUGGCUGGUGGACCACGCUCGACCGAGGGAAGAAACAACGACGCCGUAGGUAACAGGCAUACACACAGUCGGUGGGCGCCUGAAACAAUGCCAUCAAACAUGCAUGAGCAACGACCUCGAUCAUGCCUCCCUAUGUGCAACCAGAAUGUGGAGCCCAGGAGCAAGAUGACACCACCGACGAUUACUACUACACCGAGGGUGCCUUCCACUACGUGGAGGCCGCCGACGACCAGGAGCAGUUAGGAGGCUCCCAGGCAGGAGGCCUUGCCUUUUCGAUCGUUGUUGCUUUUGUGCUAGCCUUCUUAAGGAAAACUUGUCUAAUUUAUGUCUGUACUCAGAUUUUGUUGCUUCCGCUGACUCGUUUGUAUUCGAGCUUAUGUAUUCGAGCCCUCGAGGCCCC